rnacentral:rRNA from 1 species
UAGCAUAUCAAUAAGCGGAGGAAAAGAAACCAACAGGGAUUGCCUCAGUAACGGCGAGUGAAGCGGCAAGAGCUCAAAUUUUAAAUCCGGCGUUUGCAACGUCCCGAGUUGUAAUUUGGAGAGGCAUCUUCGGGGACAGCGUCAGACCAAGUUCCUUGGAACAGGACGUCGCAGAGGGUGAGAAUCCCGUGACCGUCUGGCAGUCUGAUCCCUUGUGAAGUGCCUUCUACGAGUCGAGUUGUUUGGGAAUGCAGCUCCAAGUGGGUGGUAAAUUUCAUCUAAAGCUAAAUAUGGGCGAGAGACCGAUAGCGCACAAGUAGAGUGAUCGAAAGAUGAAAAGCACUUUGAAAAUAGAGUUAAAAAGUACGUGAAAUUGUUGAAAGGGAAGCGCUUGAGACCAGACCCGGCCCCAAACAAACAGCCUCCCCUGCUCCAGGGGGGUGCACUUGUAUUGAGGCUGGGCCAGCGUCGGUUGGGGUGGUGGGACAAAGGCGUAGGGAAUGUAGCUCCCCUCGAGGAGUGUUAUAGCCCUGCGCGUAAUGCCACCUACCUCGACUGAGGGCCGCGCCUCGGCGAGGAUGCUGGCACAAUGGUCUUCAGCGACCCGUCUUGAAACACGGACCAAGGAGUCUAACAUCCAUGCGAGUGUUUGGGUGUAAAGCCCUUGCGCGAAAUGAAAGUGAAUGCAGGUGGGACAACCCCUCUCAGGGGGCAUUGCACCAUCGACCGAUCCUGAUGUCCUCGGAUGGAUUUGAGUAGGAGCAUGGCUGUUGGGACCCGAAAGAUGGUGAACUAUGCCUGAAUAGGGUGAAGCCAGAGGAAACUCUGGUGGAGGCUCGCAGCGGUUCUGACGUGCAAAUCGAUCGUCAAAUUUGGGUAUAGGGGCGAAAGACUAAUCGAACCAUCUAGUAGCUGGUUCCUGCCGA